GGCUGCCGGCGCGCCGGCGGGGUUGGAGAGUGAGGGGGCCGGGGGCCGGCGGCGGCCCCCUCUGUCCGGAGGAGGUCCGUUCUGCCCCCGCCCGCGGCGCUGGGAAGUGUGUGCUCCACCUGCCAGUUGGGCCCGAGGGGACGCGGAGCCGGCCCCGCGUGCAACCGCGUGCCCUCAGCCCCGCGAGCGCAGGGUCCGAAGUCUGCGGGCGCCGGCGCGCUGAGGGGAGCGAGACUCGACGCGCUUGCCCACGAAGGCCCAAGGACCGCCCCCAGGAGCGUCCAGUUGUGGGAGACACUGGCAGGAGACGAGCGAGAAGGACCCUGAGGCCUGGUUACUUGUUCCUGAGAUGAGCCCUGCUGGGUCACGGAGAUCAGCUGUUCCAUCCCGAGCAGGGAAAGUCCGAGGCCUUCUGCCACACUCACUCGACGGUCCCAUUCAAACGGGCUCUUCUCCUGCGUACCUUCCCCCACGAUGACAUUCGGGGAGAGAAGAAGACUGCUUCCACUUUGCUGGGUGGAACUUGGUGCCAGGACCGAUGUAGCUUCAGCCGUGACAUCAGCGUCGGGAAAAUCCUCAGCGUGGCCGGCCGUGGUAGUGACAGCUCCGUGAGCAGGGCAACGGGUAUCCAAGUAAGACGCAGACGGGGAAGGAGAGGCUGGUCCGGGCGCGCACCUGAGCGCACAGGUGCGAAGGACAGACUAGCGCGGUGUUCCAGGUGGCACACAGGCAUUCUGUCUUAUGUGGGACCAUUCGUAAUUUUAACCUCCCCCUGGCCUCCCCCCACCACUUCCAUCCCCUUUGUGGCCUCUACAACCGUAGUUGAAAAUCCAACCCCAGGAGCCACGUCUGUGGACGCCUCUCUCCAGCCCUCCGUGCCUCCCAGCUCCCUUCCUUCCCAGCUCCGUGUUUUCUCCAGCACCCACCUAGGCCUUUCUCCCAAACACAGCAGGAGACUUGGAGGGGGUCCUACCCGCUUAUUUCGCUCACAGAACUUCCUGGAAAUUGGUCUCCCUGGAUGGAAAACAAGCUCCCCCCAGGAGCCUCGUCACAUUGGGACAGUGGCUUUUCUUUUUUUUUUUUCUUUUUUUUAAUUAAAAAAAAUUUUUUUUUAAUGUUUAUUUAUUUUUGAG